rnacentral:rRNA from 1 species
GACGAACGCUGGCGGCGUGCUUAACACAUGCCAGUCGAACGGAAAGGCCCUGCUUUUGUGGGGUGCUCGAGUGGCGAACGGGUGAGUAACACGUGAGUAACCUGCCCUUGACUUCGGGAUAACUUCAGGAAACUGGGGCUAAUACCGGAUAGGAGCUCCUGCUGCAUGGUGGGGGUUGGAAAGUUUCGGCGGUUGGGGAUGGACUCGCGGCUUAUCAGCUUGUUGGUGGGGUAGUGGCUUACCAAGGCUUUGACGGGUAGCCGGCCUGAGAGGGUGACCGGCCACAUUGGGACUGAGAUACGGCCCAGACUCCUACGGGAGGCAGCAGUGGGGAAUAUUGCACAAUGGGCGGAAGCCUGAUGCAGCAACGCCGCGUGCGGGAUGACGGCCUUCGGGUUGUAAACCGCUUUCGCCUGUGACGAAGCGUGAGUGACGGUAAUGGGUAAAGAAGCACCGGCUAACUACGUG